rnacentral:rRNA from 1 species
CUCGAUCGCGCCGAUGGUACUGCACUCGGGAGGGUGUGGGAGAGUAGGUCGCCGCCGGAC